CAAAUUGUAGCUUAACCAAAGCAUUUCGCUUACACCGAAAAUAUGUCUGUUAAAAUCAGACCACUUUGA
rnacentral:tRNA from 1 species